CGCGCAGAACCUUACCAGCUUUUGACAUGUCCGGUUUGAUCGACAGAGAUGUCUUUCUUCAGUUCGGCUGGCCGGAACACAGGUGCUGCAUGGCUGUCGUCAGCUCGUGUCGUGAGAUGUUGGGUUAAGUCCCGCAACGAGCGCAACCCUCGCCCCUAGUUGCCAUCAUUCAGUUGGGAACUCUAGGGGGACUGCCGGUGAUAAGCCGCGAGGAAGGUGGGGAUGACGUCAAGUCCUCAUGGCCCUUACAGGCUGGGCUACACACGUGCUACAAUGGCGGUGACAAUGGGCAGCGAAAGGGUGACCUCGAGCUAAUCCCAAAAAGCCGUCUCAGUUCAGAUUGUACUCUGCAACUCGAGUACAUGAAGGUGGAAUCGCUAGUAAUCGUGGAUCAGCAUGCCACGGUGAAUACGUUCCCGGGCCUUGUACACACCGCCCGUCACACCAUGGGAGUUGGGUUUACCCGAAGGCGUCGCGCUAACCGCAAGGAGGCAGGCGACCACGGUAGGCUCAGCGACUGGGGUGAAGUCGUAACAAGGUAGCCGUAGGGGAACC
rnacentral:rRNA from 1 species